rnacentral:rRNA from 1 species
GAUGAACGCUAGCGGCAGGCUUAAUACAUGCAAGUCGUGGGGCAGCAUGAGUAGCAAUACUUGAUGGCGACCGGCAAACGGGUGAGGAACACGUACACAACCUUCCUUCAAGCGGGGAAUAGCCCAGAGAAAUUUGGAUUAAUACCCCAUAAUAUAUUUGAUAAGGCAUCUUUUUAAUAUUAAAGCUUCGGCACUUGAUGAUGGGUGUGCGGCUGAUUAGAUAGUUGGCGGGUAACGGCCCACCAAGUCUACGAUCAGUAGCUGAUGUGAGAGCAUGAUCAGCCACACGGGCACUGAGACACGGGCCCGACUCCUACGGGAGGCAGCAGUAAGGAAUAUUGGACAAUGGACGAAAGUCUGAUCCAGCCAUGCCGCGUGAAGGAUUAAGGUCCUCUGGAUUGUAAACUUCUUUAUAUGGGACGAAAAAGGGCAUUCUUGUUCACUUGACGGUACCAUAUGAAUAAGCACCGGCUAACUCCGUGCCAGCA